UCAGCAAGCCAGAACAUAUGAAUCCAAAUACAAAGCUUAGUAGUCCAGCUUGAGUCAGGACAUUUGGCUCAUGCAACUGUAAGACAGCAUACAUCCCAUAGAAGAGACUGAAAAUGAAACUGGACAGGUUGAGAAGGAUUCUGAACCACAGAGAGGAAUACCAUCCGUAUCAUCAAUUAGAGAUAACAGUUCUUUUAUUAGAUGCUGCUUUGGUCCAACGUCAUCAUACUUUUUGGUCCUACCAUCUGAAGACUGAGCAAGAAUCAGCUUCAAGCCAGUAUCUUCUCAUCAUGACACUCAUGCUAUUUAUUCUAUUUGUAAUAUGAUAUUUUCUCUUCCCACCACUCCAAGUAAUAGUUAUUCCUUAAAAUACAACUUAUUUGUUCAUUCUCUUACUAUCUGCAUAAAAGCUUCAUUAAAGACCUAAUUCCAGGGCUGGA